GUCCUGGGGAAGUCAGCCUGUGACUCACUUUGCAGUUUGGAAAGCAGGCUAUUCGGCAGGAAGUGUGGGAGCAGGAGGCUGGUUAGGAGGCCAGGGCAGCGCGUCCAAGCCAGAAACUCUGGUCGCUCGGUUUUGUGUAAUAGACCGGAGACAUCUGUUACAUAUCCACGGACAUCCAAGUGGGGAUGUCAGAUACUUGCUCAAUUACAAACGGCGGUGAUCCCUAAAAGAAACAUAUCUGAGAACCAUUGCAAGUAGUAUACUCAGACGACCGUGACUUCACUCUGAUCAUCCAUCAUAAGCUACAUUAUUACAGCUUUUCGGUGCUGACGACAACCUGAUGUUAGAAGAGGAUUUGGGGCAACAUCCAGCUGUAUAUGUAAAUAUCAAGUUAAUAAAGCAAAGCGCAAAAUCAAGACUCGAGACUCCCAAAAAUAUGGCAGGUGAGCAGAAAAUGGAUGAGGAGAAGGUAGACAAGUAGCUGGACACGGGAAAGGGCAACUGCUGCCCAGGUGGGGAAUCUGAGGGCCUCCAGCAAGGACACAAUGACCAAGGCCUGAAGCGUCCCUAUUUUAGUUGGUCAUGCUGUCUGAACUAUUACAUCAGAAAGGCUCUUGGAUAGGGGUCUCUCACAACGCGCAUCCAGCCCACCAGGCGGAUUCCUGGCACGUCAUACCCUGGUGUGGAUAAGCUUUGUCAAAUGGUGGCCAACCCAGAAAGAAAAUCUACUCUGCAGAGGGGCUUCUGAGCCGUAUCCGCACAAGCGGACUGUGACCUGACGACCCUCCCUUGGGACUUAGACCUGCGGACAGCACUAUUUCCUCUGUCUUGGGCAGCCUCCCCUGUUGUCAGCCUGGAGAAUUUCUACAUGUUGUCUUCAGCCGCUCAGCUCCAGAAUGUCCCUCUCCCAGAAGCCAAGGGGAGGAGAGUCGGUGGGGCCAGUGAGGCUGCCCCCCCUCCCCGCCCGACCCCGACCCAUCGAGGCUUGCAGUGGCAAUCACACAGAACCCCUGGCUUGGUAGAGUCAC